rnacentral:rRNA from 1 species
AAAGCGCGCGCAGGUGGUUUGUUAAGUUGGAUGUGAAAGCCCCGGGCUCAACCUGGGAACUGCAUCCAAAACUGGCAAGCUAGAGUAUGGUAGAGGGUGGUGGAAUUUCCUGUGUAGCGGUGAAAUGCGUAGAUAUAGGAAGGAACACCAGUGGCGAAGGCGACCACCUGGACUGAUACUGACACUGAGGUGCGAAAGCGUGGGGAGCAAACAGGAUUAGAUACCCUAGU